AAAAGUUGUCCCUAGUAAAUGUUUCCUAAAGGAAGAACAAAGGAAAGAACAGAAUGAACUCAGAAGAGAGAUCAGAGUGGGCUUGAUGACUUCACAAAGGAAGUAAGCCUUUACUAGGCCUUAAAUUGAAGAAUGGGAUUUGGUUGGAGACAAAGGAGCUGAGGAGGAGACAUUUCAGUCAGUGGAAAACAUCAAGUACUGGCAGGAUAUGUUUGUCAUAUUGGGGGCACAGAGACCAGAGAGACAAGAAGAAAAAUCAAGUUGUGGCCAUGAAGUUGGGAAUGGUGUAGACCCAAGAAAGGAG
rnacentral:lncRNA from 1 species